rnacentral:rRNA from 1 species
GACGAACGCUGGCGGCGUGCUUAACACAUGCAAGUCGAACGGAAAGGCUCUGCUUUUGUGGGGUGCUCGAGUGGCGAACGGGUGAGUAACACGUGAGUAACCUGCCCUUGCCUUUGGGAUAACUUCAGGAAACUGGGGCUAAUACCGGAUAGGAGCUCCUGCUGCAUGGUGGGCGUUGGACAGUUUCGGCGGUUGGGGAUGGACUCGCGGCUUAUCAGCUUGUUGGUGGGGUAGUGGGUUACCAAGGCUUUGACGGGUAGCCGGCCUGAGAGGGUGACCGGCCACAUUGAGACUGAGAUACGGCCCAGACUCCUACGGGAGGCAGCAGUGGGGAAAAUUGCACAAUGGGCGGAAGCCUGAUGCGGCAACGCCGCGUGCGAGAUAACGGCCGUCGAGUUGUAAACCGCUUUCGCCGGUGACGAAGCGUGAGUGACGGUGAUGAGUAAAGAAGCACCGGCUAACUACGUA